CUCCCUCCCAACCGCCGCCGAUCAAACGCCCGGCCGGCCGGCCGCUCUCGCCCGUGACGCAGCCUGGGGUGGACCCUAGCGACGCGUCAUCCAAUCACGAAGAGGAGGAGGGCGAGGUGGGUUGGUUUCCACUGGGAAGUUUGUCGCAUACGAUGACAUCACACCCGGUUUCGCCGCGUCUUGUGGGAAAAUACCGGUUUGGAGAAACGGGAAGGAGGGGGCUCACAUGUGCAGGAUCAGCGCAAGAAAAGUUUCUUUCUAUGCACUAGAAACAUCAGUGAAGCAACGCCGAGGAGAUUGCCAGGUGGAGUGAAGAAAGCAUUAAAGAUGUCGCUCGAAGUUUCGCUGAAGAAAUGCAAUAUCCCCAUUUGCUGCUGAGAGUUUCCAGUGCAUUGUUGUCAAUGCGGAGAAGG